rnacentral:rRNA from 1 species
GAUGAACGCUGGCGGCGUGCUUAACACAUGCAAGUCGAACGGACUUUACAUGAAACCUAGUGAUUGUAAAGUUAGUGGCGGACGGGUGAGUAACGCGUGGGUAACCUGCCUUGUACAGGGGGACAACAGUUGGAAACGACUGCUAAUACCGCAUAAGCGCACAGAGCUGCAUGGCUCAGUGUGAAAAACUUUAGUGGUACAAGAUGGACCCGCGUCUGAUUAGCUAGUUGGUGAGGUAACGGCCCACCAAGGCGACGAUCAGUAGCCGGCCUGAGAGGGUGAACGGCCACAUUGGGACUGAGACACGGCCCAAACUCCUACGGGAGGCAGCAGUGGGGAAUAUUGCACAAUGGGGGAAACCCUGAUGCAGCGACGCCGCGUGAGUGAAGAAGUAUUUCGGUAUGUAAAGCUCUAAUCAGUCAGGGAAGAAAAUGACGGUACCUGACUAAGAAGCCCCGGCUAACUACGUG